GACGAACGCUGGCGGCGUGCUUAACACAUGCAAGUCGAACGGAAAGGCCCCAGCUUGCUGGGGUACUCGAGUGGCGAACGGGUGAGUAACACGUGGGUGAUCUGCCCUGCACUCUGGGAUAAGCCUGGGAAACUGGGUCUAAUACCGGAUAGGACCGUGCUUUAGUGUGUGCGGUGGACAGUUUUUCGGUGCAGGAUGAGCCCGCGGCCUAUCAGCUUGUUGGUGGGGUAAUGGCCUACCAAGGCGGCGACGGGUAGCCGGCCUGAGAGGGUGUACGGCCACAUUGGGACUGAGACACGGCCCAGACUCCUACGGGAGGCAGCAGUGGGGAAUAUUGCACAAUGGGCGCAAGCCUGAUGCAGCGACGCCGCGUGGGGGAUGACGGCCUUCGGGUUGUAAACCCCUUUCGGCAGGGACGAAGCUUUUGUGACGGUACCUGCAUAAGAAGCACCGGCUAACUACGUG
rnacentral:rRNA from 1 species